rfam:Dipodomys ordii contig_48867, whole genome shotgun sequence.
GGUAAGGUUGCUCAGUGGUAGAGUGCUUGCCUUUCAUGCAUGAAGCCCUGGGUUUGAUGCCUCAGCACCA